AUGCAGAUGCAGAGCUCCCUGGAGCUGGCGGAGAAGGAGCAUAGGAAGAUGUUCGAGAAGAUCACCGAGCGUCCUGAGGAGAUGAAAAAGUUGAUGACAGAGGUGCAGAGCUCCCCGCAGCUGGCGGAGGAGCAUAGGAAGAUGUUCGAGAAGAUCGCCGAGCAUGCCGAGGAGAUGAAGUUGAUGACAGAGGUGCAGAGCUCCCUGCAGCUGGCGGAGAAGGAGCAUAGGAAGAUGUUCGAGAAGAUCGCCGAGCAUGCUGAGGAGAUGAAGAAGUUGAUGACAGAGGUGCAGUUGUCUUCAUCUCGAGUUUGCAAGGUGACCUUACCUGAGAUGGCAAAGUCCGUAGCCAGAGUUAUUGAUGGCUUGCGCAGUCGCUACAACAUCCCACCUACGCGAGUUUAG
rnacentral:rRNA from 1 species